AUUGAACGCUGGCGGCAGGCCUAACACAUGCAAGUCGAGCGAGCGGCGGACGGGUGAGUAAUGUCUGGGGAUCUGCCCGAUGGAGGGGGAUAACUACUGGAAACGGUAGCUAAUACCGCAUACUAUCGGAUGUGCCCCGAUGGGAUUAGCUAGUAGGUGGGGUAAAGGCUCACCUAGGCGACGAUCUCUAGCUGGUCUGAGAGGAUGACCAGCCACACUGGGACUGAGACACGGUCCAGACUCCUACGGGAGGCAGCAGUGGGGAAUAUUGCACAAUGGGCGCAAGCCUGAUGCAGCCAUGCCGCGUGUAUGAAGAAGGCCUUCGGGUUGUAAAGUACUUUCAGCGGGGAGGCGUUACCCGCAGAAGAAGCACCGGCUAACUCCGUGCCAGCAGCCGCGGUAAUUC
rnacentral:rRNA from 1 species